UUGAGCUUUACUAUUAACUUGUAUUGCCAAAGCAAAUAAAAGGGAACUCUCCCUUGCUUUAUAAUAAAAUUGAGUAGACUAAGUGGGAAAAAAGGGAUGUUAGUCCCCUUUUUAUGGCCGAUUCAUUGGAUUGGGCCCCCAAAAGAUACCUUUUGGGGCCAUUGGCGUAGAGAGGGGGGAUCCGAUUUUCGGAUCGGCGCCGAAGGCGCCCAACCCUACUCGAUUUUUAUGAAAAACCACUCUUUUUAUUAGGAUUACUGGCUAAAACCGUACAAGUAAGGUAGUUUGGUUGGGGCGACCGCCUUCGAAAAAGUAUCGAAGGCGUACAUAAGAUUAAUCCGGGGGGGGUGUCCUUUUUUCACCCCCAAACAAACCGGGGGUAAUGCCCCAAAAAAGAUUAGUUUGACUGAGAGGGCUACAACCCGAACAGGCGCUUGGGGAUCGUUAGGAUCCCUGGGCCCGGUUUAUACCAAGGGGCCUAAUUGACCAGCGGGCUCCUUUUUAUUCCCGGGUCGAACCUAGCGGGUCAUAGUGAUCCGUUGUUAUAUUGUGGGAUAGACAACGAUC
rnacentral:rRNA from 1 species